UCCCGUGCAGCUGCCAGCUCGACCUCAAUGGAGUUGAUCUUGGAAGCCUGAGUCCAAGAUCGAUCGCUGGCACAUUUUCAGAGUUCCUCAAGCUCCUUCACGAAGUCAGCCUUCCUCUGGGUGUAGUCCAUGAAACCCUUUUUGUGGAUGUCGCAAAAGCGAGUAGCCUCCCUAGUGACUUUCAAAUGGCUCUUCCUCAGCCGAUGAAGUUCAUCAUCCAGCUUC
rnacentral:lncRNA from 1 species